AGUGAACGCUGGCGGCAGGCCUAACACAUGCAAGUCGAGCGGCAGCGCGGGUGUAGCAAUACAUCUGGCGGCGAGCGGCGGACGGGUGAGGAAUACAUCGGAAUUUACCCAAUCGUGGGGGAUAACGCAGGGAAACUUACGCUAAUACCGCAUGAACUGGAGACAGCAAAGCGGCGGACCUUCGGGCGGUCGCGCGGUUGGAUGAGCCGAUGUCGGAUAGUCUAGUUGGCGGGGUAAAGGCCCACCAAGGCGACGAUCCGUAGCUGGUCUGAGAGGAUGAUCAGCCACACUGGAACUGAGACACGGUCCAGACUCCUACGGGAGGCAGCAGUGGGGAAUAUUGGACAAUGGGCGCAAGCCUGAUCCAGCCAUGCCGCGUGUGUG
rnacentral:rRNA from 1 species